UACGGAGGGUGCAAGCGUUAUCCGGAUUCACUGGGUUUAAAGGGUGCGUAGGCGGGCUUGUAAGUCAGUGGUGAAAUCUCUGAGCUUAACUAGGAAACUGCCAUGGAUACUAUGGGUCUUGAAUACUCGGGAGGUGAGCGGAAUAUGUCAUGUAGCGGUGAAAUGCUUAGAUAUGACAUAGAACACCAAUUGCGAAGGCAGCUUGCUACAGAGUUAUUGACGCUGAGGCACGAAAGCGUGGGGAUCAAACAGG
rnacentral:rRNA from 1 species